rnacentral:rRNA from 1 species
UAAAACUUUUCAGCUAGAGUAUGAUAGAGGAAAGCAGAAUUUCUAGUGUAGAGGUGAAAUUCGUAGAUAUUAGAAAGAAUACCAAUUGCGAAGGCAGCUUUCUGGAUCAUUACUGACACUGAGGAACGAAAGCAUGGGUAGCGAAGAGGAUUAGAUACCCUCGUAGUCCAUGCCGUAAACGAUGUGUGUUAGACGUUGGAAAUUUAUUUUCAGUGUCGCAGGGAAACCGAUAAACACACCGCCUGGGGAGUACGACCGCAAGGUUAAAACUCAAAUGAAUUGACGGGGACCCGCACAAGUAGUGGAGCAUGUGGUUUAAUUCGAAGAUACGCGCAGAACCUUACCAACACUUGACAUGUUCGUCGCGACUCUAAGAGAUUAGAGUUUUCGGUUCGGCCGGACGAAACACAGGUGCUGCAUGGUUGUCGUCAGCUCGUGUCGUGAGAUGUUGGGUUAAGUCCCGCAACGAGCGCAACCCUCACUUUUAGUUGCCAUCAUUAAGUUGGGCACUCUGAAAGAACUGCCAGUGAUAAGCUGGAGGAAGGUGGGGAUGACGUCAAGUCCUCAUGGCCCUUACGUGUUGGGCUACACACGUGCUACAAUGGUAUCUACAACAGGAAGCAAGACUGCGAAGUUAAGCAAAUCCCUAAAAGAUACCUCAGUUCGGAUUGCACUCUGCAACUCGAGUGCAUGAAGCUGGAAUUACUAGUAAUCGUGGAUCAGCGUGCCACGGUGAAUGCGUUCCCGGGUCUUGUACACACCGCCCGUCACACCAUGGGAGUUGGUUCUACCUUAAGGCAAGGUUUCAAACCCUUGACCACGGUAUAGUCAGCGGCUGGGGUGAAGUCGUAACAAGGUAACCGUA